UACGGGGGGAGCAAGCGUUGUUCGGAUUUACUGGGCGUAAAGGGCGCGUAGGCGGUCGUGACAAGUCACUUGUGAAAUCUCCGGGCUUAACUCGGAACGGUCAAGUGAUACUGUCGGACUAGAGUACAGAAGGGGCAACUGGAAUUCUCGGUGUAGCGGUGAAAUGCGUAGAUAUCUGGAGGAACACCGGUGGCGAAGGCGGCAUCCUGGACCGGCAUUGACGCUGAGGCGCGAAAGCUAGGGGAGCAAACGGG
rnacentral:rRNA from 1 species